AAAAAAAAAAUAGCAUGCUAUGUUGGAUCAGGCCAUUUGCUGAGCCUGACUAGCUUAGGGAAAGUGCACUUUUCACCCUUAACUCUGCCAUAAGGUUCCAGGCAAAAUGAGUUUGCUCGCAUCUCCCUGUCCCUAACGAGUGGGUUUUCAUAUGUCAAAGAGCCACACGCAUAUUAACGCAAUUGGAAGGAACUGUUCUGAAGAAGAGGCUCAAGAGGAAGUUGCCAUGGAGAUGAGGAGGCUAAACACUACUGUACUUGUGACCUCCGCCAGGAUGAUUUCUCCAAAUGACAGCAGAGGUCGUGGAGGCACACGGGGGAGCUGGUUCUGCCCAUCCCUGCUCUGCAUCCAGCCCCUGGGUGCUAAGUAAGACAUCCAGCUGGGGGCCACAGCUAAGGAGCUGACUCCAACAAUUCCAGUCACUUCUGUAAGAGUUAUUACAGUGUAUCAGAGGGAAAAGAAGGAUGCUUAUGAAUAUCUAAUCCAUAAAACCAUAAUCAGAGGGCCAGCUUUUGGACUUUUAAAUCUGCAAAGCAAAGAGAAGACUACAAAAUAGCAGGUACAGCAUUUCUCUUGGCUGUUUAGCGCUAACCUUUCAAAAGUUGAUACCGCUCACUGAUUCUACUUCAUAGUUAAAGCAAAAGGAGAUAAGUAACUUUCACUGACAGAGAAGCAGAUUUGCCUAACAAAAAAAACAUUCCUUUGUAUAACAGGUUAUCAUAUGUUGUUUACUCAUCCUCUAAGUGUUGUGUUCAUGUGUUUCUCCAUACAUUUAUUAGUGACCUGCUACAUCAUUCCUUCAUUACACUGAUUAUGGGAGAGUAAAUAGGAAACAUCACAAUGUUUGACUGCAGUUUGACUCAUAAAUUCUUUUCCUUGAUUAUUCUUUAUUAUCUCUACACAAAAUGAAAUACAUAUCUUACACAAAUUUGAACAUAAUCAUACAACAAUACAAACGAGUUGUUUGAAAGCUUAGUUGUGUGUAUGAAAAAAGAUCCAACUACAAUCUGCAUUUCAAAAAAUACAAAACUCUGUGGUUUAAACCAGUUAGCUAAGAUAGCUUUAAGGUGGCUGGGUCAGGCAGUGAGUAUAUCACACACAACUGCUACUAAGCGUUUCGUUUUCUUUAAUGGGAUGUGAUGGUUUUUGUUCUUUUCUCUACUUCUUUUUUUAUUAUUAUUUUUUAUUUUUCUUUUUAUAAAACACUUCCACUUUCAUGUUUCAGUGGUUAAUUGCACUUCGGAUUUUAAACAAACAAAAAAAAACAAUAAAAUUUUCAUCCUCCCACUGGUAGGUUUAUAU
rnacentral:lncRNA from 1 species